GAUGAACGCUGGCGGCGUGCCUAAUACAUGCAAGUCGAGCGAACAGACGAGGAGCUUGCUCCUCUGACGUUAGCGGCGGACGGGUGAGUAACACGUGGAUAACCUACCUAUAAGACUGGGAUAACUUCGGGAAACCGGAGCUAAUACCGGAUAAUAUAUUGAACCGCAUGGUUCAAUAGUGAAAGACGGUUUUGCUGUCACUUAUAGAUGGAUCCGCGCCGCAUUAGCUAGUUGGUAAGGUAACGGCUUACCAAGGCAACGAUGCGUAGCCGACCUGAGAGGGUUGUCCGCCACACUGGAACUGAGACACGGUCCAGACCCCUACGGGAGGCAGCAGUAGGGAAUCUUCCGGCAUGGGCGAAAGCCUGACGGAGCAACGCCGCGUGAGUGAUGAAGGUCUUCGGAUCGUAAAACUCUGUUAUUAGGGAAGAAAAAAUGUGUAAGUAACUAUGCACGUCUUGACGGUACCUAAUCAGAAAGCCACGGCUAACUACGUG
rnacentral:rRNA from 1 species